rnacentral:rRNA from 1 species
UAGAGUUUGAUCCUGGCUCAGAGCGAACGCUGGCGGCAGGCUUAACACAUGCAAGUCGAGCGGGCGUAGCAAUACGUCAGCGGCAGACGGGUGAGUAACGCGUGGGAACGUACCUUUUGGUUCGGAACAACACAGGGAAACUUGUGCUAAUACCGGAUAAGCCCUUACGGGGAAAGAUUUAUCGCCAAAAGAUCGGCCCGCGUCUGAUUAGCUAGUUGGUGAGGUAACGGCUCACCAAGGCGACGAUCAGUAGCUGGUCUGAGAGGAUGAUCAGCCACAUUGGGACUGAGACACGGCCCAAACUCCUACGGGAGGCAGCAGUGGGGAAUAUUGGACAAUGGGCGCAAGCCUGAUCCAGCCAUGCCGCGUGAGUGAUGAAGGCCCUAGGGUUGUAAAGCUCUUUUGUGCGGGAAGAUAAUGACGGUACCGCAAGAAUAAGCCCCGGCUAACUUCGUGCCAGCAGCCGCGGUAAUGCCCA